GAGGGUACAACUCAGUGGUAGAGUGAGUACCUAGCAUGCAGGAGGUCCUGGGUUCAAUCCACAGUACCUUCA
rnacentral:tRNA from 1 species